UGCGGUGUCGCCAAGUUGGUAAGGCACGGGACUUUGACUCCCGCAAGAGCCUACCGGUUCGCCCGUUGGUUCGAGUCCAACCACCGCAGCCA
rnacentral:tRNA from 1 species